rnacentral:lncRNA from 1 species
ACAGACUUGUUCACUAACUGUGAAUUUGUUCCUCACUUAAGAAAAGUUUUUAAAAAUAGAGUGUUUGCACCAGAAAAAAUAUGUAUCUUUGCAGGGUGAGUUCCGAUGCCUUCGCGAUAACAGUGGUUCUGACCUUCCUUUCAGGCAGGAGCCAGAAUUAAUUGUUCUUUCCUUUGCUUUCCUGCAGCAACCAACAAUUAUUUGAACAUCUAUCAAGUGUAAAACAGGGCGGAUCCUGCCCUCAAAGGACUUGCCAUCUAGUAGGUAAAAGGACCUAUAUAAUUCCUGUGUCUGUCGUGACAAUGGUCACUUUUUACCUCAUGUUGCAGAGGCGAGAGAAAGUGCACACAGCUGAAGUACAUGGAAAAAAAUUGAUAGAAGAAUGACAGUCAGGUCAUUAAAGAAAUUGCAUUUCCCUAGGUCGAUAUGUAAUUAGUUUUCCAAGAGAAGAUGAUACAAUGGCUACAUAUAUGUAACGUAGCAUAAACAAAUCCUACAAACCUGGAAAAGUCACCUUCGAGGAUAGGAACUUUUAAAUAUUUCCCCUGAGGCCUCUCUUAUCUCACAUACUCUUCAACAUCUGGGCCUAUUUGUCAAAUUUCAUAGACUAAUGAUUCAGAUGAUCUUCCGUAUAAUUCAGCUCAAGUUUGGUGAUGAAGGCAUACAUUCCUAUACAUGUAAUUUCAAUAAAAAUAUGUGUCAGCAGUAAGUUUUGGUGAACAGACAAGUUUCUUCCAUCCUGCUUCAGCAAAUGGCCAUAUGGGAUAAACUAAAGCUUAACUAGAAAAUAUAUACUUAAAUUUUUCUAAAACAUCCAGGAUUAGAAAUGUGUGUCCCCAUCUAGAGAGAAAGAGAAAGAAAGAAAACUAUAUGGUUUGAACCAGCAUAGUACUGGUUCAAAAACACAUGCAUAGAUCAAUGGAACAGAAUAUAGAAACUAGAAAUAAGGCAGUGCACCUACACCUAUCUGAUCUUCAACAAAAAUAAUGAAAAACUUGAAAAAACAGAAUCACUUUCAAUUUAUGGUAAGAAGGAGUACUAAUAAUCACUGCAUUAUAUCAUCUCCCAUAUGUGCCCUGUGUCAGGAACCAUAUCUAAGUUCAGGAUUCAUCACUGGUGCCAUCACGAUAAUGAGUGAACAUCCCCAUGAGACUUGGCUUUCCAAAACAAAGCUGAUCAACUCAUGCGGCUUUGAGGAAAUAGAUCCCAGAAUGAAAGUUAAUGGCAAUGCAUAGGGGUGCAAUGAUGAGAUAGAAAACUACCUUAAAUUUGAAAAUCAUUUCACAUUUUAUUAAGCACUCUCACUUACCUAACUUCUUAUAAUAUCCCAACAUAUCCCUUUUUAUAGAUGAAAAUAUUUGGAGCUCAAAGUUUAAAUGAUCAGUUUAAGAAGAAUGAGCUCUUAAAUCUAGAUCUCUCAAUUCUGGUGAAAAUCUUGGCAUACUUGAAGACAAGGGUGCUCUUGUAGGGAGGAACAUAUGUAACAGUGGUAUUGCCAGUUGAGCAAAAAGCUGUGGCAUCAACCAGUCAAGGAGAGGUGAGGACCAGCGAGAGGUAUCCCCAGAGGUGGUGGCUUGGAAGUGAAAACACAUGGGUAUUUUUAACAGCUAUUAGGGACAGAACAGAAAGAUUGAGCUGAAUGAGGGGAUAAACUGGGGUAGUGCGUCUCUCUCUCUCAGCACCAGCAAAAGGUCAGCAUUGCUGCUCGGUCAGCAUUGCUGCUCAGUCAGCAUUGCUGUGGAGUUUAUACUGAAAGCUAUGCCAGAGUAGGCAAGGAUGUUUUGCUUUAAGAAAUGACAUCUGCCUCUUAGCAAUACUUGCUGCACAUGCAAGUGUUUGGGGGCUCCAAAUUCCAGUGUGAUGCAAAGAGCACUGGAUUUUUAAUCAAGGGGGCUGGGCUUGAGUCAUGCAUGUCUAUCUCUGGAGGCUGCCAGAGUGAGUCAUGCAGAGGAGAAGAGUGAGCUCGUACCCAACUGGCUUCAAGUGCAUGGAGGUCCAGUUUCUCCUUCUGCCCUGAAGACCUGGGUCUACAGAACCAUCUUAAGUACCUAAGGCCCAGGGCAAAGGUCCUGGUAGCACCACUUCUCUGGAGUAUAGAUCACUGCAGCCAUUUGUCUCCUCCACAAACAGGG